rnacentral:misc_RNA from 1 species
CGAAAUGCGAUAAGUAGUGUGAAUUGCAGAAUUCAGUGAAUCAUCGAAUCUUUGAACGCACAUUGCGCCCUUUGGUAUUCCUUAGGGCAUGCCUGUUCGAGCGUCAUUUAAACCUCCAAGCCCUGCUUGGUGUUGGGUGCCUGUCCCGCCCCCGCGCGUGGACUCACCUCAAAUCCAUUGGCGGCCCCCGCAUGGCCACGAGCGCAGCAGAAACGCAAACUCGUGUGCCGGACCGGGCGGCUCCCAGAAGCUACACUCACCAUUUUUGACCUCGGAUCAGGUAGGGAUACCCGCUGAACUUAAGC